UACGUAGGGGGCGAGCGUUAUCCGGAAUUACUGGGCGUAAAGCGCACGCAGGCGGUUCGCCAAGUUUGGAGUGACAGUUGUCGGCUCAACCGACAAAGGACUUCAAAAACUGGUGAACUUGAGGACGAGAGAGGAACAUGGAACUCCAGGUGUAGUAGUGAAAUGCGUAGAUACCUGGAAGAACGCCAAUGGCGAAGGCAAUGUUCUGGCUCGUUUCUGACGCUCAGGUGCGAAAGCCAGGGGAGCGAACGGG
rnacentral:rRNA from 1 species